GAUGAACGCUGGCGGCGUGCCUAAUACAUGCAAGUCGAGCGAACAGACGAGGAGCUUGCUCCUCUGACGUUAGCGGCGGACGGGUGAGUAACACGUGGAUAACCUACCUAUAAGACUGGGAUAACUUCGGGAAACCGGAGCUAAUGCCGGAUAAUAUAUUGAACCGCAUGGUUCAAUAGUGAAAGACGGUUUUGCUGUCACUUAUAGAUGGAUCCGCGCCGCAUUAGCUAGUUGGUAAGGUAACGGCUUACCAAGGCGACGAUGCAUAGCCGACCUGAGAGGGUGAUCGGCCACACUGGAACUGAGACACGGUCCAGACUCCUACGGGAGGCAGCAGUAGGGAAUCUUCCGCAAUGGGCGAAAGCCUGACGGAGCAACGCCGCGUGAGUGAUGAAGGUCUUCGGAUCGUAAAACUCUGUUAUUAGGGAAGAACAAAUGUGUAAGUAACUAUGCACGUCUUGACGGUACCUAAUCAGAAAGCCACGGCUAACUACGUG
rnacentral:rRNA from 1 species